AUUAAGUUGAGUUUGAUGAUGGCUCUGAAUGAACGCUAUUCAAAUGCCUGACACAUGCUAAUCGUACGUUCGUAAUUAACAUAUUAGAUGUUAAUGUAUGAAAGUGGUGUACAGGUGAGUAAAUGAUGAUUUAGUUACCUUAAAGUAAGGUAUAAAAUACCUUAUAAUAAUAAAAGAAGAGUUCUGCUUUAAGAUACUAUUUAUGUCUCGGGUAGGUAGUAGUAGAGGUAAUUGCUCAACUAGCCUAAAAUCCCGUAGUCGAGUCUGAAAGGUCGAUCGAUCACAUUGGAUCUGAACAAAAUUCAAUGCGUUAAAGUACAGCAGUGAGGGAUAUUGGUCAAUAGCCGAAAGGCUGAACCAGCGAUUUGAAGGAAUGGCUCCAAGUUUUUACUUGGAGGGGGAUAGUAUUAUCAUAAAAUAAAGUAUGGUAAUAUGGGUCCAAGCUUAGGUCAAAAGCCUAGGAUUAAAAUUCUGAAUAGAAUAAUGAUUAUGACAAUUUUCUAUUUAAAUGUCUUGACAAACACAUGUGCCAGCAGUCGCGGUAAGACAUGAUAGACUAGUGUUAUUCAUCUUUAAUAGGUUUAAAGGGUACCUAGACGGAAGUUCAAGCCUGCUGAAGGGACGGAAUUUCUAGAGUUUUAUGUGAGAAGGGGAGUAUUACUGGUGGAGAGAUGAAAUUCUGUGAUACCUUUAGGACUGGUAAAGGCGAAGGCAACCUUCUAAGUAAAAACUGACGUUGAGGGACGAAGGCUUAGGUAACGAACAGGAUUAGAUACCCUAGUAGUCUUUGCAGAAAACGCUGAAUGCCAUAGGUUAGAAUUAUUUAGUCUAUAAAUGAAAGUGUAAGCAUUCCACCUCAAGAGUAAUGCGGCAACGCAGGAACUGAAAUCAUUAGACCGUUUUUUGAAACCAGUAGUGAAGUAUGUUAUUUAAUUCGAUGACCCACGAAAAAUCUUACCACAACUUGAAUAGCAAGUAAAAUAAAAUUAAUAAAUUAUUUUAUAAACUAAAUUAUCUUUUGCAUUCUUUAAUAAUAAAGAAUGUAUGAUAAUUAUGAGAAAUCAUAUAUGAUUUAUUUACGACUAGUGGGUAAUAUAAAUAAAUCAUAUAUACUUGUUACAGGUGUUGCACGGCUGUCUUAAGUUAAUGUCGUGAGAUCAUGGUUAGAUCCAACAAUUAGCGUAAGCCCUUGGUUUAUUUUAAAAAUAUAAUUUAUUAAUAUAUUUAUUAUAAAAAUGUAUUAACCAAAUAUCUUUAAGUAGUAUCUAAGUUGAAAUGUGGAUAUUAUUAUUUUAAAUAAUUUUGAAAAUUAUUAUUAAAAAAAAAAUAUUUGUUUUAUAAAUAAAUAGAUUAGUUCACUGAGACAAUGGAAAGUGAUAACCGGGAAUAAGACAAGUCAUCAUGGCCCUUCUAUUGUUAAAAAGUUAAUGUUGUGGGCUAUAGACGUGCUGCAUAUGCCUAAACAAAAGGAUGCAAAAAUGUGAAUUUUAGCUAAUCCUCAAAAUAGGAAAUAAAUUAUGGAUUGUAGUCUGAAAUUCGACUACAUGAAUAAGGAAUUACUAGUAAUCGUGUAUCACCAUGGCACGGUGAAUUUUAUCUCAGAUUGGUACUAACCACUCGUCAGGCGCCGAAAAUCGUAUGCGCAAUAAGUUUGGUAAAUAUGAAAAAAAAGUAUAGGCAAUUGAGCUUAUGUCAUUUGAGUGUUUAUCUUCGUAUGCGUGACUUUGAUUGGUGUUAAGUUUUUUGAGUGUGAGGUACUCAUUAUAGGCUUAAAAUUGAAUCAAAACUGUCAACAUCCUAAAGCUUUAUGUACAAAAUUAUGAGAGAGAGCCUCAUAAUGAAGAAAUAGUUAUAAAGAUAUCAAUCCUUUAUUAAUUAAAGGGCUUCUGAGAAGAAAAUGGACAAGACGGUGCUAAAUCGUCAGAGUAGCUUAGAACUGCUCCCGACAAAGCUAACAGACUAAACGUUUCACGUUAGAGGUAAAAGUCCUCGAGUUGUAAAUUUAACAUGAUAAAGUUAAAAUUGAAGCGAAGCCGAAAGGAAAACGAAGAUAUAGUCGGACCUAAUUUGAAAGAAUUAACCCUUGCAAGAGGGAGAGGAUAUUUUAUUUAAAUCAAAUUUAAUAUCUAUGGGAAAGGGCGCCUCAAUAUAUUUAUUUAUGAAAUAUUAAGACUUGACCACUAUGCGUUAGACGCAAAACGGAGAAGUAAGCCCCUUAAUUGCGAAAUAUGGUUCGUGUAGGGGAACUUGCACGGGAAUGAUUAUCUAU
rnacentral:rRNA from 2 species